AGAACGAACGCUGGCGGCAUGCCUAACACAUGCAAGUCGAACGAGACCUUCGGGUCUAGUGGCGCACGGGUGCGUAACGCGUGGGAAUCUGCCCUUGGGUACGGAAUAACAGUGAGAAAUUACUGCUAAUACCGUAUGAUGUCUUCGGACCAAAGAUUUAUCGCCCAGGGAUGAGCCCGCGUUGGAUUAGCUAGUUGGUGGGGUAAAGGCCUACCAAGGCGACGAUCCAUAGCUGGUCUGAGAGGAUGAUCAGCCACACUGGGACUGAGACACGGCCCAGACUCCUACGGGAGGCAGCAGUGGGGAAUAUUGGACAAUGGGCGAAAGCCUGAUCCAGCAAUGCCGCGUGAGUGAAGAAGGCCUUCGGGUUGUAAAGCUCUUUUACCCGGGAAGAUAAUGACUGUACCGGGAGAAUAAGCCCCGGCUAACUCCGUGCCAGCAGCCGC
rnacentral:rRNA from 1 species